ACGUUAACUUUUGUGGAUACCAUUCUUAGAUAUCUAUCAUCUCUGUUGAUUGUAUACUAUGAAGAGUAUUAGUGCAUGUUUCAUUGGGGUUACUAGAGCCUGAGAGCCCUAUUAGUCCCACUUGUUAAAAGGAAUAAGUUUAAAGCAGUUGGGAGAAGAAGACCUAGUAGAGAAAUGGUUUGGAAUUCCCUUUGUAUGGAAGGGCCCUGACAGGAGCCAGGAAGAGGGAGAACGGUGGGAAAGCUACAGGAGUGGAAUUAAUUUAUGUGGUGGGCCUUGAAAAAGGAACAAGAGACAGCACUUUGUGGGGUGGAUCUAUAGUGUGACAUGGCUUGAAGGCCACAUCAUCAGCAGAUCACAGAACUCUUGAGAAAGACAGCAAGGCAGAGUUGUUGAAACAUGCGACAAAGGGGUACUCAAGAAUGGCCCUGCUGCCACGCCAGGGGAGGCCCUGGACCAGAGGAAACUUGACCUGGAGGAAGGACUGGGGCUACCAGGACUGCCAGCAGCCGAGUACCAGGAGGAACAGGAGGAGCCUGAGCCAGAGGGGGAGCUGGAGCUGCCAGCAGCUGACUGCCCGGACGAACUGGAGCGACCAGAGGGACUCGUACAAGCAACCGGCAUGCAAGUGCUGAACACAGUGGAUUCUGCUCUUCACUUCUCUUAUUAAGGAGAAACACAGAACUGAGAUCACAGGACUUGGCAAGCAAACAAAAGAGGAGCAUAUUUUGAAAUACAGGCCUAAAUGGAGCUUUGAAGCCACAACCCUCUUUAGGGACACAUAGGCCAUACAACAGUGAGUCUCCCCAAGGGCAUUCUGGCUGACUCUGCUAGAAUUUCACCAGAAGUUCUGGACUUGUGCACUACCACUCUUUUUACAUUGUGCAGCAUAUGUGCUCCUCUGCACUGGCCCAGCUCCGCUGCUCAAUGGGGAGGAACAGUGGUGCUUUUCCACUUGGACACUCUAGUGCUGGCAACAGCGCUAGACAAACAAUCAGGGAGUGUAGUUGCAGCAGUUGUGCCUGGCCCCAAGCAGUGGAUCAUUGAGCCAUCUUGCAUUCCUGCAGAUGUAGUCUGGCCCCCACAGCAUUCAGUUUUAAAAUGUAAAUGUGUUUGUAGUGUAAGUUUACAUGUGUGUUCCCUCAGUGAGUUGGGAUCUAAACUAGUUGUUCUUCUUCUUGCUUUAAUUUUUUAUGAUUAAAUAAAAGCUUAUUGUUCACCUUUUAAGAAUUAAACCAUCUGAAGCUUCCAUCUAUAAUUGCAUGAUCUUGAAAUGUGUUAAACAACCACUAAGUAUAUUGUUUGUACUUUAGAGACCUUUUUAAACGUCCUUAGCGUGCUCUAAAAUCAUAAUUCAUUUCAAAGUUCUGGUUUUGAAUUGUUAAAUUAUUAGCUAGAACACAAUUUAAGUAUUCCCUGAAUGGAGCUGGCAGUCUUUUAAAAGGAACUGUUUCUCUGUGGGAUUGAUAGCUAUUAAUUCUAACAUUAAAGCUUCCAAAUUUGAGACUAAUAAUGAAUUUAAUAUUGGUUUAAACUUCUAAAGACCUUCUGUAACUUUUGCCUGUGUGGGAGUAGGAGGAGGGAAAGUUGGCCAGAGUAAUAAAAAGCAUGACAUGCAAAACUCCAUUUAAAAUGGUAAUGUUAAUCCAUUAUAUUUUGAGAGUUAUGUCUGCGUGAGCAAGAUUGCAAAAAUAAAGUAAAUUUUUAUCUUGUUUGA